rnacentral:rRNA from 1 species
UGUUAGGGCACGACACCGGAGAGGGAGCCUGAGAAACGGCUACCACAUCCAAGGAUGGCAGCAGGCGCGCAAAUUACCCAAUCCCGACACGGGGAGGUAGUGACAAUAAAUAACAAUACGGGGUUCUUAAGGAUCUCGUAAUUGGAAUGAGUACAAUUUAAAUCUCUUAACGAGGAACAAUUGGAGGGCAAGUCUGGUGCCAGCAGCCGCGGUAAUUCCAGCUCCAAUAGCGUAUAUUAAAGUUGUUGCAGUUAAAAAGCUCGUAGUUGAAUUUCGGGAUCAAUUUGUCGGUCGUGCCUCGGUACGUACUGGCAUUAUUGGUUUCUACCUUCUGAAGAACCUUGAUGUCAUUAAUUUGGUGUCUUGGGGAAUCAGGACUGUUACUUUGAAAAAAUUAGAGUGUUUAAAGCAGGCAUACGCUUGAAUACAUUAGCAUGGAAUAAUGAAAUAGGACGUUUGAUUCUAUUUUGUUGGUUUCUAGGAUCGACGUAAUGAUUAAUAGGGAUAGUUGGGGGCAUUAGUAUUCAAUUGUCAGAGGUGAAAUUCUUGGAUUUAUUGAAGACUAACUACUGCGAAAGCAUUUGCCAAGGAUGUUUUCAUUAAUCAAGAACGAAAGUUAGGGGAUCGAAGACGAUCAGAUACCGUCGUAGUCUUAACCAUAAACUAUGCCGACUAGGGAUCGGAUGAUGUUA